UUUUGUUUGGAGCCAUGUUUUCCUUCUCUUUAUGUAGAGUCUACCUUUUUUUGAAUUUUUUUUUGACGAUCGCAUUCAUCGAUCACAUCAAUUCUCCGCUCUGUUGCG
rnacentral:sRNA from 1 species